UUAAUAUGUUUUUUUGGUAAUUUCCGUUUAUAAUAUCAGUAGAUUUUAACAUUAUUUUAUAAGUAAUGUUUAAAAUUUUUUAUCUUACUGUAUUUAAAAACUACAUAAUUAUACUAUUUUAUAUUUAUAUUAAAUGGGAAAACUAUCUUAAUAUUUGUUAAUUUUGUUUUUAAUUAUUUUAACUCAUUUCGUUACGAAUAUUUAAUAAGAUAUAUGUAAUUUGUUUGAUUAAAUUUCUGAUAUAUGCUUAUUUAAUAAAUUUUUAAUUAUAAUACUUAUUUGAUGUUAAUUUAUUGGCUAACAUUUUAUUUAUAUAAAACUAUUUGAUGUCAACUUAAACCAAGCAUAAUAUCGCAUAUAUAAUUAUAUGUUAUUAAGAAUAAAACAACUUAAGAAUAAGAGUCUAAUAUUUAUUAAGUUUAAACGAAUUCAAUUUUUUUAUUUAUGAAAAUACUAAAAAAAUAAUAUAGUAAUUUCAUAUUAAAUACUUUUUUGUAGUAUCUAAACCCACCAAAAUAAUUAUACCUAUUUUCAACUUUUUAUAAAUUAUUUGAGUUGUUUUAAAUCAAAUAAUUUAUAAAAGAAGAUAAAUAAAAAAUUAUUAAAAAAGUAUGACUUAAUAUUUUAUAUUGUUUGGAUGCAUGAUUAGUUAUUGUAUUGUUUGAAAACACAUUUAGCAGUAUAAAUGUUAUUUUCAUAAUUAUAAAAGUGAAUUUAACUAUAUAAUAGAAGUGUGAAUUUAAUUUAAAAACUUACAAAAAAAAUCGGUUCAUGAGAAUAAUCUGUUUUAGUAAAAGAGAUAUUAAUAAUUUGUUUUUUUUUAUUUAGAAAACUACCGAUAAGGUUGCUUUUAGAGUAUUCGGUACAGCUUACCCAAACAUACUCAUAUUUGGAUUUGAGGGAUCUCCCUAUUCUUACAUUUAGAUAUGUAUGAAUCUCCGAGUUGAAUCAGGUAGGUACUUGCAUAUUUUGGGUAGGUCUAACCGAUAGGUCCGAUGAUAAUCUUAUAUGAUCUAAUUUAGCAAGUGGCUAGCUUCCCCAUUUUUCUCGACCUCAAUAGGCUGCUUAAGUUGUCGUUCUUGAGCAUUCUUUAGAUUGCAUUAAAUAUAUUUUUCUUUGCGAGAGCUUCACCAACAAUGUUAGUUUCUACAAGAUUUCGGUUAACUUCUUUCAUAUACAGCGGUGAAUGACAGUCUACAGGAUUUAGUGUUUUUAUUGUUUCGUAUGGAAAUAUUACGAUGCUUCCACCUAAUACCAUGAUCCUGAUGAUAAAGAGGUGUCAUUUAAUCAAUGUAACAUCAUUCGAUGUAUUCUGACAUUCUUUUGGUUAAUUAUCUAAGGUAAAUGGAUGAUUAAAAUUAAAAAAACUUUUAGAAGGAAAUUAUAAAUUUGAUGAAACGUAUAUUGCACAGUAGUGCGGACAUUUUGAAACUUAAGAAAUGGAUUCAUAAAAUGAAUUAACUAAAAAAUGGAAAAUAUGAAAUGAAUUUUUUUUUAAAGUCAACGGAAACCUUUCUUUUGAUUAUUUAUCGAUAAAUAGAACGGCAAUGCACAAUUGUGUCGACAUUAUGAACUUGGGUAAACCAGACAUCAAAGCAGAGAGAAUAAACAAUUAUACAAACUAAUGAAAUUUUGACUAUAAAUAGAUCACCAUACAUGGAUAUGUUUCACAAAAACUAAGUUUACUGGCAAGAAAAAACAAAAACAAGUUUAAGAAAGAGCAAAGCAAAACCAAAAGAAAUGGCAAAGAACCUCAGCUCCGUCACCUUUACCGUUCUAUUGCUUGUCCUCUUGAUGGCUUCAACCGAAAUCCUAAAAAUUGAGGCUAUGAACAUCAAGGCCAGAUGCCUUCCACAGGGAUGCAAAAAUGCUACAUUCUCCGAGGAGUGCGGGCCGGAGCCGUUCACAGGUUCAAAUAACGAUUGCUGUCACUGUUGCGUAGCCAAAUACGGGAGGGAGGCAGUCUGUAAAGGAGUUGUUGAGGGACCAGACAAACACUGUCAUUGCUACAAAGAACGUGUUUGAAAUAACCUCAUACAACUACCAAGUGUAAUUGUGUAACUUUUGUAUUCAUUUGGUGUGAGGACAUUACAUGUGUGUAUGUGUAUGUUCAACUUUCUUUUGCUUCCAAAUAAAACAUCAAGGGCAAAGCAUAUCAAUGCUAUCCCCGAAGUGUAAGCUCAUGUUGUGUGAAUUUUUUGCUUCAUUCUGAAUAUUUGACUUGUUUUUUGUUUGUGUUCCUCAUUUUAUCGCCGCUUACAUUCAAAUUUUUGUCCCGAGAAAAUCAUAUAUAAAUAUUGACUACAUCGUGAGGUAUAGACUUGGAAUAGUAAGAACAAUCUUUAAGAGGAAUUAUUGUGUCAUUUCAAUUUAUUAACUCAUGUACAAAUGUAAUGACAGUUUUAAUCAAUCACUGAAACUGACACUGAUCAAUUCAAGGCUAGAUGCCUUCCACAGGGAUGCAAAAAUGCUACAUUCUCCGAGGAGUGCGGGCCAGAGCCGUUCACAGGUUCAAAUAACGAUUGCUGUCAUUGUUGCAUAGCCAGAUACGGGAGGAACGCAGUCUGUAAAGGAGUUAUUGAGGGACCAGACAAACACUGUCAUUGCUACAAAGAACGUGCUUGAAACAACCACAUACAAUCACCAAGUGUAAGUGUGUAACUUGUGUGUUUCAUUUGGUGUGAGGACAUUACAUGUUUGUAUGUUUAUGUUCAACUUUCUUUUGUUUCCAAAUAAAAUAUCAAGGGCAAAGCAUAUCACUGCUUUGGUCUCAAAGUGUAAGCUCAUGUUGUGUGCAAGUUUGUUUCAUUCUGAAUAUUCGAUUCUU